rnacentral:rRNA from 1 species
UACAGAGGUGCCAAGCGUUAGGCGGAAUCACUGGGCUUAAAGCGCGUGUAGGUGGACGGGUAAGUAUCUUGUGAAAUCCCACGGCUCAACCGUGGAACUGCUGGAUAUACUGCUUGUCUUGAGGCACUUAGGGGCAGCUGGAACAAAUGGUGGAGCGGUGAAAUGCGUAGAUAUCAGUUGGAACGGCAAAGGCGAAGGCAGGCUGCUGGGAGGGAUCUGACACUGAGACGCGAGAGCCAGGGGAGCAAACGGG